UACGUAGGGUGCAAGCGUUGUCCGGAAUUAUUGGGCGUAAAGGGCUCGUAGGCGGUCCAUCGCGUCGGGAGUGAAAAGCUGGGGCUCAACCCCAGUCCUGCUUUCGAUACGGGUGGACUAGAGGUAUGCAGGGGAGAACGGAAUUCCUGGUGUAGCGGUGAAAUGCGCAGAUAUCAGGAGGAACACCGAUGGCGAAGGCAGGUCUCUGGGCAUUAACUGACGCUGAGGAGCGAAAGCAUGGGAAGCGAACAGG
rnacentral:rRNA from 1 species